GGUGAGCAUGCAGGAGUGUGGUUCAUUGACAUGAAGAACGGUGGGGGCAGUGCGGGUAGUGGAGAACCCCCAGUCAAAGCUGACGUGGUCAUGACCAUGGACAGCGCCGACUUCACCAAGAUGUUCGCAGGCAAACUAAAGCCCACCUUGGCCUUUAUGUCAGGGAAGCUGAUGAUUAAAGGAGACAUGACCCUGGCUAUCAAGAUGGAGAAGAUGAUGUCCAUGAUGAAGUCUAAACUCUAAAUUAUAACAACGAGGAGAUGCCUAUUCGCUACAUCUGGUGCCUUCAAGACAACUGGGAACUUUAUAAUAUAAUAAAAAUUAUAAUCUGAAUUAUAGUCUGACUGUUAAAAAUGGUGGACUGUUUCCUCCGACACAUUGGUGCGGCUGACUUCCGGGUUGGAUGCGCGCUGUGUUAAGAAGCAGUGUGGCUUGGUUGGGUUGUGUAUCGGAGGACCUUCGUCUCUCCCGAGCCCGUACGGGAGUUGUAGCGAUGAGACAAGAUAGUAGCUACUAAAACAAUUGGAUACCAUGAAAUUUUCCACGAAAAAGGGGGUAAAAAUUCAACAAACAAAAAAAACCAACAUCAAAAUAUUGUGGUCGGAGAUCCACGACGAUGCCUCUGAAUUCUGACGUUAUAGAUUUACAAGUUCCAUGUUGUCUAAAAUGGUACCCUGUAAUAGAGGGAACCCGGGUGUCAAAUGGGACAUACCCAGAAUGUCUAACGAAAUGUGCCGUUUUCCAUCGCUCUGAAUGUGUCCUAACUGAACUGUCCCUCCUCCCUCUUCUUCUCUAAGUUUUCUAAUAAACCAGUUGUUCUAAUUGUA